rnacentral:rRNA from 1 species
UACAGAGGUGGCAAGCGUUGUUCGGAAUUACUGGGCGUAAAGGGCGCGUAGGCGGCCUUCUAAGUCAGACGUGAAAUCCCCCGGCUUAACCUGGGAACUGCGUCUGAUACUGGAGGGCUUGAGUGCGGGAGAGGGAUGUGGAAUUCCAGGUGUAGCGGUGAAAUGCGUAGAUAUCUGGAGGAAUACCGGUGGCGAAGGCGGCAUCCUGGACCGGCAUUGACGCUGAGGAGCGAAAGCUAGGGGAGCAAACGGG